rnacentral:lncRNA from 1 species
GAAAAGAAGGAAGUCGAUAAGUCCGGCGUGGAAUCCUCAUUUAAAUUAUUUAAAAGAUGGUUCGUAAAUCGAUCAUGAAUCCACUAAAGCCGCGUUUACACUGAGCGAACGAGCGAGCGAAUUGCUACGAACGUAUGCUCGCGUGUCCGACUGAUGUUCAGGAGAAGUGAAGUGCUGUUUGCACUGGGCGAGCUCAGUCGCUGUCUUAACGCGUUUUUAUCGAUGAUGUACGAUGGAAAUCUAUUACUAGCUAGCGCAACGUUUGUUAUUAGUUCUUCACUGAAAAAAAGGAGAAGAAGAAGAUAUUGGGUGUCAAAAUUUUUAAAGAAAAGAAGUUCACAACUCAGUCGUUUUUUUGAACGAACUAAAAUCUCAAUCGGAGGAUGAACGAUUUCAUAACUUUUGUAGAUGUAAUCAGGAAGAUUUUGAGCGUUUAUUACUAUUAGUACAAGUAACAAUAAGG